UACGUAGGGUGCGAACGUUAAUCGGAAUUACUGGGCGUAAAGCGUGCGCAGGCGGUUCGUUGUGUCUGCUGUGAAAUCCCCGGGCUCAACCUGGGAAUGGCAGUGGAAACUGGCGAGCUUGAGUGUGGCAGAGGGGGGUGGAAUUCCGCGUGUAGCAGUGAAAUGCGUAGAGAUGCGGAGGAACACCGAUGGCGAAGGCAACCCCCUGGGCUGACACUGACGCUCAGGCACGAAAGCGUGGGGAGCAAACAGG
rnacentral:rRNA from 1 species